AGCGAACGCUGGCGGCAGGCUUUACACAUGCAAGUCGAACGCCCCUUCGGGGGAGUGGCAGACGGGUGAGUAACGCGUGGGAAUUUGCCUUUUGGUGGGGAAUAACGCAGGGAAACUUGCGCUAAUACCGCAUAAGCCCGUGAGGGGAAAGAUUUAUCGCCAAAAGAUAAGCCCGCGUCUGAUUAGCUAGUUGGUGGGGUAAUGGCUCACCAAGGCGACGAUCAGUAGCUGGUCUGAGAGGAUGACCAGCCACACUGGGACUGAGACACGGCCCAGACUCCUACGGGAGGCAGCAGUGGGGAAUAUUGGACAAUGGGCGCAAGCCUGAUCCAGCCAUGCCGCGUGAGUGAUGAAGGCCUUAGGGUUGUAAAGCUCUUUUGUGUGGGAAGAUAACGACUGUACCACAAGAAUAAGUCCCGGCUAACUUCGUGCCAGCCGCCGCAGUAA
rnacentral:rRNA from 1 species